rnacentral:rRNA from 1 species
GGCUGAAACUCGCCUCCAUGAAGUUGGAUUCGCUAGUAAUCGCGCAUCAGCCAUGGCGCGGUGAAUACGUUCCCGGGUCUUGUACACACCGCCCGUCACACCAUGGGAGUCAGUAACGCCCGAAGUCGGUGACCCAACCUAUUCUGGAGGGAGCCGUCGAAGGCGGGACGGAUGACUGGGGUGAAGUCGUAACAAGGUAAC